UACAGAGGUCUCAAGCGUUGUUCGGAUUCAUUGGGCGUAAAGGGUGCGUAGGCGGCGCGGUAAGUCGGGUGUGAAAUCUCGGGGCUUAACUCCGAAACUGCAUUCGAUACUGCCGUGCUUGAGGACUGGAGAGGAGACUGGAAUUUCCGGUGGAGCGGUGAAAUGCGUAGAGAUCGGAAAGAACACCAACGGCGAAAGCACUCUGCUGGGCCGACACUGACACUGAGAGACGAAAGCUAGGGGAGCGAAUGGG
rnacentral:rRNA from 1 species